GAUGGCUCAGUGAUAAGAGUGCUUGCCUUGAAUGCAUGAGACCUUGGGUUCAAUUUCUCAGCAUCA
rnacentral:tRNA from 1 species